AAGCAAAUAGGGAAUGGAACUUCCCUGUCAUAAACCGCUAAUAAUAGCUGAUAGUUCCUACGAUAUC
rnacentral:ncRNA from 2 species